UAUGCUGGGUUCGCUCUGUCACCCGGCUCCUUUCCUCCUCGGAGGCGGGAUGAUAAUGGGUUCUGCUUCCGGGUUACUCCCCCGGCAGCUUCCGGUUGCUGGGUUGCGCGAGCGGCCGCGGGUGGGAUGGAGCGGGACCUGCUGCGCCAGGCGCUGGGUUUCCAUGGGCCCCCGCUGCUCGCCUUGCUGCGAACCGAGCAGAACGACAACCCCGACUUCCGGGGCCUCCUGCCCCCCGGGGGACCCAGCCUGGAGCUGCCCGCCAGGAAAGAGAAGCGAAUUGAUAACAUUGAGAUACAACACUUCAUUGCAAAAAAAGCUGAUCUCCUUUUUGCUCUUUCGUGGAAACCAAAUACAUCAACAGGUUCAGAAUCAAAUGAAGAGAAUGAAGAUUGUUAUGCUGUUAUGCCACCUUUGGAGCAGUUCAUGGAGGUGCCAAGUGAGGACAGGAGAGAGCUGUUUUUCCGAGACAUUGAGCGUGGAGAUAUCGUGAUUGGAAGGAUUAGUUCUAUUCGUGAAUUUGGCUUUUUCAUGGUGUUGAUCUGUCUGGGCAGCGGCGUUCUAAGAGAGAUCUCCCAUUUAGAAAUCACUGCUCUUUGUCCUUUGAGAGAUGUGCCUUCUCAUAGCAGCCAUGGUGAUCCUUUAUCAUAUUAUCAAACUGGCGACAUUAUACAAGCUGCAAUCAAGGACAUUGAUCGUUACCAUGAAAAGCUCACAGUAUCAUUACACAGCUCUGCUCUUCCACCCAGUCUUUCUAGCACUAAACUGGGGGUAAUUAGUUCUGAAGACUUGCCUUUACAUUAUAGGAGAAGUGUUGAAGUAGCCAAUACUGCGGAGACAUAUGAAAAAGUCUUACAUCAUUCUUUGGGAUUUGCUAAUCCAGGAGUAGUUGAAUUUUUAUUAGGAAAACUAGGACUAAGUGAAUCCAACCCACCAUCAUUAAUGAGAGGCCUGCAAAGUAAAAACUUCAAUGAAGAAGACUUUGCCUUUGCAUUGAGGAAGAAGCAGUCUGCAUCUUGGGCCUUGAAAUGUGUGAAGAUUGGAGUUGAUUAUUUUAAAGUUGGCCGCCAUGUGGAAGCAAUGAAUGAAUAUAACAGGGCACUGGAAAUAGAUGCACAAAAUGUUGAAGCCUUGGUAGCUCGUGGGGCACUUUAUGCAACAAAAGGAAGCUUAAACAAAGCCAUAGAUGAUUUUGAAGUUGCAUUAGAAAACUGUCCAACCCAUAGAAAUGCACGGAAAUAUCUCUGUCAGACUCUUGUGGAAAGAGGAGGCCAGUUGGAAGAGGAAGACAAACUAUUAAAUGCUCAGAAUUAUUAUAAGAAAGCUUUAAGUUUGGAUGAAACUUUUAAAGAAGCAGAGGAUGCAUUACUGAAACUCCGUAAACAUAUGCAGGUGAUUCUUUACUUUCUCUUACUACUAAAAUCAAAACUCUUAUAUAAACACUGGGAAGGGGGAAAUUAUUUACUGGUUACUGUGUUUUUCUUCUCCUCUUUCCCCUCUUUACAACACAUCUGUCACAGUAAGUAUUAUGGCUGCAUCUACAAAAAGCAAAGGUGGCUGUAGAUGGUUUGAUCAUUUCAGAUGGGUGGGGGAAGCAAUAGCCCCUGCAGCUGGAUGCAGGGAAAGACCAGAACUCAGUAAUUGUCUGCUGGAGAGGAGAGAACAGCCUGUUCGCACUUGAGCUGGAUUGCUGCUAUAGAUUUAAGACUUUCUGUAGGGUAAAUCCCUAAAUAGAAAAGUCAGUGUUAGAUUAUAUACCAGGGUUGUAAUUGGGAAUAAUCAGAGAGGAACAGGGUAAAACUGAUGAAACCUAACUCAGAAGGAAGACUUGGUGUAUCUCCACUUGGCACAAGAAGGGUCUUAAUUUAAAGGCCCAAAGACAGCUGAGGAUAUAAUGUCACUGAAAUGAGCAGUUAUGGUCAGUUAAUUCAAAAUUCUGCCAAACUUCUUGAGAUGCAAAUUAAUAAGCAGUUAUUUAAAAUGCAGAAAAAAAUAACAAUUCAUCAGGGUCCCAGCAUUGGAGGAAAUAAGGGGAAAAGCAAGUUCCCGGGUCCCUUUUUUGUUUUUCUCCCCUGCACGCAACAUUUCCUUGGUCAGCACCUAUGAGUUACCAUGCCAAGCUCCUUUGUCUGCUGCUUGUCUUUCUGUGGCUUUUUCAUUCAUCUCCUUUACUUACUUUGUCUUCCAGAUAGAAUCAAAAAGAGUGAAUUCAAGUUAGAGAACUGGGGCACAGGGUUGCUGUACUCAAUGCUUCUGUGCUGAAGGAAGUAAAUAGACUGGGGUAGAAGUGUGGUUCCUUUAUGCAGGGUUUGAUUGACACUGCUUUAGCAGGUGGGUGGAGCCAUAAUGUGAAAAGGUUUUGUUGAAGGAUGGGGAAGAGGAGAUCUAUGGUAACCUUUAUUAAAGCGAAAUUAUACUGCAGAAAUAUCUACUUAACAGUAUGCGGGCACUUCCAAUGUAUUUGGUAUUCUACAGACAAAAGUAUUGUUGCUGUAACAAGGAGUCUUCUAAUGAAAGUAAUAAAUUAAAGUGAUUAAACAUGUUCCAACUGAGUGAAGGAAAUGGUUUAACUCUCACUCCAAGUUAUAGUGAUGGUGAUGAGGGUCACUCAUGCAACUGAGGAAUAUAAGACUUGUUGUUCAGCAGUUUAUGUAAGUUUUCCCACAAUAAAUUAAGGGUUUCCCUUGUCCCAAGGCAGUACCUGUGACAUGACUAUUGCCAAGCCUCAAGAACUGGUAUCCAGAGACAUGCUGCUCAUCCUAGAUAUGUAUUCCAACUGUUUCAAAACAUUUCAAGCAUUAUUACAUUAAAACACAUCAGGGAGCUUUUAGUGCACAUUAGCAGGAUCUACUUGGACCAAUUAGCACAUUAGUGUGUGUUAGAAAUUGUCCCCCCCAUUCCAUAUUGCUUCACUAUAAAAACAAUGCCAAGCCCUUAAAGAGCUAUGGGACACAAGAGUCUACCCAGCUGAUGGACUUAGCUAGCAUGCCUUUAAUCAUUAAUUGUUUAGUAACUGAAGGCUCCUUUAUUUCUGAGUAAACCUUGGUUUAUAUGGCAACUAAAAACAGACUACUAGAAUGAUACAAUUUACAGUUCAGAUAUGAAAUAUUCUUUUCCUGUAAUACUGAUGAUAUGUUUUUCUUCAAUGCAUUUCCUUCUGAACGGGACCGUUGCUGCUGACAUCUGGCGCUGCUCAUCAACAACCCACUGGAACAUGAUUUCUUAUGUAAACAUGCAUCAAACUGGGCUGUGGUAUAAUUACUAAAUGAAAUCUUUGGAAAUGAGGGAGAAACAAGCUGCAAAAGAGAGACAGAAGGAAAAGAAAAUAGAAACAAGUGCACAAAAACUGCGUAAGCUCUUAAAAGAAGAAAAAAG